GACUGUAAUGCACAGAACCCGCUGGGCACCCAGCCCCAGUUAAGGCUCCUCACGCUCCAAGAGGCAAGGGGCUGUGGAUCAAAGGCUCCUGCAUCUGGGAAAGAUACUCCGCUCCUCGGCGAGCCCUGGUGUGGGGGCUGUAAAGAGGUCCAGGACCUCCUGUAUAAAGCAGGCGUCCUCUGACUUGAUAAAUAUGAGUCUGGAACAAAAUUAAAAGGAAACAACAUCUGCUGGAAAGAGGAAUUAUUUAUUACUGUAGUUUCUUGCCAACAUUGAACUCUGAGGAAAUCCACUAAAUGGAGA